AAGGGAGACCUAAUUCCGGUAGGAGACGAAAAAAAAGUAGUACCAACCGAGAAUCAAUCCCAAAAGGUCGGAGCGAGGCGAAAUUGGCUUUCAAACUAGGUUCUGGGUUCACACAAGACCUGAAUCAGGAACAAGGGCUAUUAGCUCAGGUGGUUAGAGCGCACCCCUGAUAAGGGUGAGGUCCCUGGUUCGAGUCCAGGAUGGCCCACCUGCACAGGUGGCAAAAACAAAGAAGCUCCGAAUCAGCACCUUAUCUUACUUAUAUAGUAAGAGAGAAUGCUGGCUCUGAGUUCAGAGUCCAGAGGAACCUUGAAAACUGCAUAGAGCUAGGUGAAAAAGCCAAAAAAGAAGACCGCAAGGUCAAGCUAAUAAGGGCUAACAGUGGAUACCUAGGCAC
rnacentral:tRNA from 1 species